rnacentral:rRNA from 1 species
GACGAACGCUGGCGGCGUGCUUAACACAUGCAAGUCGAACGGUGAAGCGCCUUCCUUUUUGGUGGGUGUGGAUGAGUGGCGAACGGGUGAGUAACACGUGAGUAACCUGCCCCCUUCUUCUGGAUAACCGCAUGAAAGUGUGGCUAAUACGGGAUAUUCUGGGUCUGUCGCAUGAUGGGUCUGGGAAAGAUAUUGUUUCGGUGUGGGAUGGGCUCGCGGCCUAUCAGCUUGUUGGUGGGGUGAUGGCCUACCAAGGCGGUGACGGGUAGCCGGCCUGAGAGGGUGGACGGUCACACUGGGACUGAGACACGGCCCAGACUCCUACGGGAGGCAGCAGUGGGGAAUAUUGCACAAUGGGCGCAAGCCUGAUGCAGCGACGCCGCGUGAGGGAUGGAGGCCUUCGGGUUGUGAACCUCUUUCGCCAGUGAAGCAGGCCUGCCUCGUUUGUGGGUGGGUUGACGGUAGCUGGAUAAGAAGCGCCGGCUAACUACGUG